AUUGAACGCUGGCGGAAUGCUUUACACAUGCAAGUCGAACGAUGAAGCCUAGCUUGCUAGGUCGAUUAGUGGCGAACGGGUGAGUAAUAUAUCGGAACGUAUCCAAUAAUGGGGGAUAACUAGUCGAAAGAUUGGCUAAUACCGCAUACGUCCUACGGGAGAAAGCUGGGUAUCGUAAGACAUGGCGUUAAUGGAGCGGCCGAUAUCUGAUUAGCUAGUUGGUGAGGUAAAGGCUCACCAAGGCGACGAUCAGUAGCUGGUCUGAGAGGACGAGCAGCCACACUGGAACUGAGACGCGGUCCAGACUCCUACGGGAGGCAGCAGUGGGGAAUUUUGGACAAUGGGCGAAAGCCUGAUCCAGCCAUUCCGCGUGAGUGAAGAAGGCCUUCGGGUUGUAAAGCUCUUUCGCAAGGGAAGAACACUUACUUAAUAACACUAAGUGAGGUCGACGGUACCUUGAUAAGAAGCACCGGCUAACUACGUGCCAGCAGCCGCCGUAAAAC
rnacentral:rRNA from 1 species